rnacentral:misc_RNA from 1 species
CAACCAGUGCACCCUCU